rnacentral:lncRNA from 1 species
AAGAAGAAAAAUAUGUUUAUAACUGGUUUAUUUUGAAAAGUGUUAUUUGGUAUACAUUUUCACAUAUAAAAGGAGACGCAUAAGUUAGGAUUUGAAAUAAUAAAUAUCUAAUUUCAUUUAAUCAGAUAUGUUUUUAUUAAUUUUGAAUCACUGAAAAAAAAUCGUAGCGAAAACCAGUUUUGUAUUCGCCCUUUUGCAAAAUAUCACAACAUUCAGAAAAAGUUAAGAAGAAAUCACAGAAACUUAACUUGAAAUUUAAAGAAGACUUCCUACAACUGCAAACGUUAUUGACUUAUUCUGAGAAUCUUUAUAUGUACUCUUCUUGAAAUUGUGUUUCUAUUUUCAUAUUUGAAGUAUUUUGGAAAGAUAAUUAUUUCUAGAAAUUAAAAGAUAUGUUCUACAACUCAAUAAAAAAAAAUUCAGUAAAAAAAAAAUUCAAUAAAAAUCACGUUAUUCUAGUCAUGUUUUAAUGGUGAUAGGUACAAUAACCAAAGACAUGCAUCAUCAUCAUCGCUGCUAUGCUUUUCCUUACUUCAUGAAUUUAGCACAUCUUUGAGCACCAUCCAUGCUGCCCAACUGCGCUUGGUCAUAAAAGAAACACGAUUGCAUUUCCUGAUUUAUUUUCAACAUCUUAUUUGACAAAAAAAGGUUAAAUUAUUAUAACUCUUAAACCGUAAUGCCACCU